rnacentral:rRNA from 1 species
UACGUAGGGUGCAAGCGUUGUCCGGAAUUAUUGGGCGUAAAGAGCUUGUAGGCGGUUUGUCGCGUCUGCUGUGAAAUUUCGGGGCUCAACCCCGAACUUGCAGUGGGUACGGGCAGACUAGAGUGUGGUAGGGGAGACUGGAAUUCCUGGUGUAGCGGUGAAAUGCGCAGAUAUCUGGAGGAACACCGGUGGCGAAGGCGGCAUCCUGGACCGGUAUUGACGCUGAGGAGCGAAAGCCAGGGGAGCAAACGGG